rnacentral:tRNA from 1 species
GCCCAGGUGGCUCAGUCGGUUGAGCAUAUGACUCGAUUUCAGCUCAGGUCUUGAUCUCAGGGUGGUGAGUUCAAGCCCCACUUUGGGCU